GAUGCAUCUGAGCUUCAGAAGAGAAGGAUGGGAGGGGGGGCGGUCAGGGGUGAGAAGAGGAGGAGAUUUCCAGGGAGGGGAGCCCAGUACAGAGACUGGAUGGGAGAGGUGAGGAAGAGGCUGGAGUGGGCCUGCCCCACAGCCCCCCAGGGCCCCAGCUCAGAUACCUUCCUCCAGGCCCAGGGGCCCUCCAGCUUCCACUACCCUGGCCCCAGACUGCUCACAGGCUCUGCCUUCUACCCUCCUGUGACAGCAGGGAAACUGAGGCCCAGAGAGGUGGAUGGCAUCCAGAUUUGGGCCCCUUUGUCCCCUCCUAAGUUCUCCCACUUCUCCCUGGACCCCACAGGCUUAGAGAGUCCAAAUGGCUACCGAUCAGGUAAAGCUUGUAGGGGGUGCUCGGGGAGGGGGGUACACUGGCUCCCAGCUGCUCAAGUACCCUGGGCUCAACAUCUCACUUCUCUGACAGCCUAUGGUCCCCGCAAUGGUCUGGGAGCAGCAUUCAGGAUCAGGCAUGGCCUGGGAAUCCAGCCAGGUGACAGCCAUAGGGUCCCCUCCUUGCCUCUCUCCCAAGCCACAGAGGGAAAAGGCAGGAUUGGAGAGUGAUGGGGAGAGGGGCACAGGGAGCUGCUCAGAUUUUCUGCUGUCUGGCUUAGUCCACGGGGGGUCCAAGGGUCUUGUACCCCCACCACAGCUGGGACCCCAAACCUCCUCAGCUCACCUCUCCCUCUCUCACAGGCCCUUCCACUCAGAAUGGCUACAGAGCAGGUAGAGGUGGGAGUUGGGGAGCUGGAAGGCAGUAUUCUACAGGUAUCCCUGGCAUGGGGAUUCCUGAGCCCCUCAUCUGAUCCUCAUCUCUCUCCUAGGCAUUGAAAGGGGCAUGAAACCCCAGAACCUAGGUGAGCCUCGCCCAGCCCUGCCUGCACCCUGUCCCCCCUCCAUCGGUCUUCCUGACUCCUUCCUGCCUUCUCGCCCCAGGGUUCAGGACCUUCCCAGGUGCUGCAGCCCAGCCGGGAUAUGGAAACGGGCUGGGAACAGGGGCCUUCCCAGGGGCUGGAGCCCAGCCAGGAUUGGUGAGCAGAAGUGGUUUGGGUGCUGGCACUCUUCCAGGGGCAGGAACCCCACCAGGAUACAGCAAUGGAAACAGCCCAGGAACCCAGCCAGGUGGGGGGCAAAGGGGCUGGGGUGGCUGGGAGGAAGAGGUCAGGGGCCCGGGGCCAUAUUCUGGGUCCCCGAUGGGCUCUUGGGGGUUCAUUCAUUCACCCAAUCUCCCCUGAGCACCCACCCACCCUGAGCCAGGCCUCAGCUGGGCAGGGAGGACACUCCAGCUGGUCAAGGGUGGCCACGGUCUGGACUCCCAGGCCAAGAGCCAAAUCCAGCCACGACUGCGGUCAGUCCCGGGAGGGAAUUCACACAAGACAGACCAAGAGAGGGCAGAGGCCACGAGACAGAAGGGGAGAGGGCAGGGCUCCAGGCCCCAGCUCAUUCCCACUGCAGCGCCUCCACAAUGCCGUCUCUGCCCCUCAAACAGGUCCUGCCGCUCAAAAUGGCUUUGGACCAGGAAAAGAGGGUGGGGACGGAAGCAGGGAGCCUGGGGCUGAGAUUCUGGGCGCAGGCCCAGAGGAAAGGAUCCCUCAUGCUCCCAUCAUCCCCCCAGGCUUUGGAGGGGGUGGAAAACCCCAGAAGCCAGGUGAGCCCCACCCUGUCCCUGUCUCCCUGCCCAUUUCCUGUGCAUCUGCUGCUGCUUCCCCAGAGUCCCGGAUCUCCGCAUUCUCUCUGUCUCCCUGGGAUGUGGGAAUGGGAAUGGGUGGGGAGCCGGGGCUUCCUGGGAGCUGAAACCCAGGCAGGUGGGGCCCUGGAGUUGUGGAAGCAUGGAGGUCUUAGGGGUUGGGGGUUACUGAUGGGGGUGGGGGCCUGGCCCUGGUUCUGAACGGAGAAGAAGGGCCUGGUGGACUUGCACGGACUCCUUCCCCUUCUCUUCCCAGGCCUGGGAGGAGGACUACAGCCUCAGACAGCAGGUGAGCACCACCUUCUAGCCCCUCAGCUUCGUCUCACACAACACACCUCUUUCAACAAACCAAUCCAGGCCUGGAGCCGUGGCUCACGCCUGUAAUCCCAACAGUUUGGGAGGCGGAGGCAGGUGGAUCACUUGAGCCCAAGAGUUCAAGACCACCAUGGGCAACAUUCCCAAACUGGCCUUGAACUCUUGGGCUCAAGGGAUCCA